rnacentral:rRNA from 1 species
AUUGAACGCUGGCGGCAGGCCUAACACAUGCAAGUCGAGCGGAUGAAGGGAGCUUGCUCCUGGAUUCAGCGGCGGACGGGUGAGUAAUGCCUAGGAAUCUGCCUGGUAGUGGGGGAUAACGUCCGGAAACGGGCGCUAAUACCGCAUACGUCCUGAGGGAGAAAGUGGGGGAUCUUCGGACCUCACGCUAUCAGAUGAGCCUAGGUCGGAUUAGCUAGUUGGUGGGGUAAAGGCCUACCAAGGCGACGAUCCGUAACUGGUCUGAGAGGAUGAUCAGUCACACUGGAACUGAGACACGGUCCAGACUCCUACGGGAGGCAGCAGUGGGGAAUAUUGGACAAUGGGCGAAGGCCUGAUCCAGCCAUGCCGCGUGUGUGAAGAAGGUCUUCGGAUCGUAAAGCACUUUAAGUUGGGAGGAAGGGCAGUAAGUUAAUACCUUGCUGUUUUGACGUUACCAACAGAAUAAGCACCGGCUAACUUCGUG